GUGCUUGCUUCAGCAGCACAAAUUCUAAAACUGAAAUGAUACAGAGAAGAUUAGCAUGGUCCCUUCCCAAAGAUGAUACACAAAUUUGUGAAACGUUCCAUAUUUUA